rnacentral:lncRNA from 1 species
AGCUCAGGCCUUGAAUAUUCAAAUCUGGAGUCCAACUCAUAUUUUUAACCAGCCCUAUUUUUCGAACAUAAUAAUUUUGCCCAAACACUCCCAAUUCGAGAAUAAUCCUGCCCAUGAAAAGGUCGUCACAGUCAUUAAUCUUAGAGUUCACAUACAAAGUCCUAAUAACUAAACUAGUGAUUGAGCUGGUCAGACAAUUCAUCAUUGAUUCAAUCGAUUCAACUGCUAGACCAACAAUAAUUAUAUAAAUAAUUAAAAUUUUAUAUUUUUUUAAAAAGUUUAUUAAACAAGUUUGUAAGAGGCCCAAUUUGCCCGGGCCCAACAACCAAAAAUUAAUCCAAAACAAAACAAAAAAACAAAAACAAAUAUUAAAGUCCAAUAAACAGUUAUAACCUGAAUAAAUCCCUUAAGCCCAAUAAUAAAACGUAGCCCAAACAUAUAUCAGGACUUAGAAAUUAAGACCCAAACCCAAUACUCAAAAUGAACUAACAUCUCAAGCCCAAGACUAACCCUAGCCAAAAAAAAAAAAACCAAUCCUUAGCCUGCUGCUUAGCGCCGCAACAGCCACCAAGGGCUUCAAGCUCCACUUCCACAACGGCCUCUACACGCGCCACCCUCUAGCUGUACCUGCAACAGACUAACAAACGAAAAUAGCAAACAACAAUUGACAGCAAAUAAUAACAAAUUACAACAAGGAAAUUUGUAUUUUUUCUUUUAUUUUUAUUUAUUUUUUGGGCUAUAAAGCUGAAGAGAAUCAAAUGUAAAGAAAAAACGAACACAGGCAUAUUGAAAGGAUAGAAAUCAAUUCAAAAACAGUUUACGAAAGGUGAUGCACAGACUAUUUCUCUGUUCUUUUUUUUUUUACUUUCUUUUGAAUCUAUUCGACGAAUCUAAAAUGGGGAAGGGGUUUACUUAUUGGUGGUUUUGGUGUUGACUUAGUCGGCGUUUGCUCUUCCGAUCCAAAGGCAGACGAAUUCCUAGGGACCGUUUGAAGCCGUGGCAGAGAUAGAAGCAUAUUUUGGUGCCGUCGAAGUCUGCAUGGGAGAUUAAGAGAAUUUAAAAGAUGAUUUAGGGUUUUGUUUUGAGAAAAUGGUCUGCUAAAUGAUUUUUAGGGCAAAUUUUAGCUUUUAUAUGUGUUUAAAAACGACGACGUUUUAAGCCGUGAGUAUUGGCGUUGAAACGGCUUCGUUUCACGACACAACCCAUCCACUCGACCCGUUUACCCUCAGGACCUGUGCGUUUUUGCGAUGAAGGGAUAUUUGUGCUAUAAGUCCCUCCCCUCCUGCACUGAUCCUUAAUUAAGCCCCGAUCAUGUUUUAUUUGUUUUUACAUUUUCC